GAUGAGAUGACCUCGACCAAUAAGGAUUUAGAGACCCUUCUCGACCGAGACUUGGAUAGGUAAUCAAUCGUUCUCACCGCAGUGCUGUUGAUGCCAACGGAAGAUACUGCGAGACCGACUGACUCUACGGUGACAGAGCUAUCUAUGCCGACUUAAGAUAUCACCGGUUGCUUCCACAGUGCUGUUGAUGCCAAUGGAAGAUGUGUCAGCGGAAAAGGAAAAAGAAAAAUCACAAGUUGUGAGAAUUUGCGCAGGGCAAUUUUGUGUGUUGAAUUGAAGGGGCCUUCCUGAUGCACAGCGUCCCCUAUUUAUAGUACUGAUCAUUGAGGGGCCGAUGAUCCUCGAGCUCGGCCGGGGCGGCUCGGACUUUAUCAAAAGAUAAGGCAGGACCAUGAUCCUCUUCGGCAAGGAACUCAACGAGGUUAACGCCGGAAUUCGGUUGCCGAGAUAUAGCAUACCAAUGGGCCAGCAGUCGUUCCAUCGUAGAUGAAACCGCGGCCCUACGUUUGUCCUGAUCUGUGUCAGACAUCAGACUCGGGGAGAAAAUUGGCCAAUCCGAGUCUCGCCGAAUCCUGGUGGACAGUCUCGACGCCAACCUCGAUAGCUUUCUGAACUGAAAUCCGAGUCGGCCGUCCGUCUUCAUUGAAGCCUUGCAACGUAAUAUAGCCGACGUGGUCAUCAUAAUACCGGGCUUGGAUCAUAUUCGCUUCGAAGGGCUGGCUAUCGGCAGGGUGAACAGUGACCGAUUUGCCGUCCCAAAAGACAAGCACUUGAUACAACGACGAAGGAAUACAACUGGUUUGAUGGAUCCAAUCUCGGCCGAGCAAUGCAUUAUACUCGGUUUUGGAAUCAACCACGAAAAAAGCGGUCAUGUGGGUGCGACCAGCAAUAUUCACAGUUAACGGAAGUACACCUUUGGUUUGGGAUUUGUCGCCGACGAAACUACUCAUUGUGAUUCCUGACGGAAUAAGCUCGUCAUUCGAACGGUGUAAGACCUUCAUGAUGUUCAAAGGCAUGAUAUUGACGGUAGCCCCACAGUCGACAAAAACUUUAGAAACUGGAUAUCCCUCAAUGUGGGCCGUCACAUACAAUGGCUUUAAAUGGUGAAGCUUGGCCGACGAUGAACGAGGGAACAAUUCGGCCAAGGCAGCCUUUAAACCAUCAUCUUUCGUUGCUGACUCACCUUCAGCAAUCGACACAAAAUCAAUAUGGCCGGGUUCUUCGGCAACCACAUCUCCAUCGAGGAAAUUUGGUUGAGCCGUGCUUGAUUGAAAAUCGGCAGGUAACACAUGGACCAUACUGAUUUCCAUAUUAUCCAGGACUGACGGGCCCAUCUGGUCAAGACCCUCCUCAUUUGGUUGGUCGGCGACUACGGAUUCAGUUGUUGUCAAAGUCGGACAACGAGACUCUUCUGACCCUUCUUCAACGACGUCAACCGGCGGAGCUGCUUCGGCGACAGGUUGGUUCUGCGUGACCGCCUCAGGUGAGAUUGACAAUGUACUUGGGAUCAAGACCUGAACCUGCUCCUGGUAGUGUAGCCGAGCAUCCCUAGUGUCGAGAUAAGCAUCCAGACGGGCAAUACGUGCGAUUUCAUCGGUCGUAAGGCCGAAGAGAGAAACUGCUGAAAAUACUUCAAAGUGAUAUCGCAAAUAUUGAAGGUCCUCCAGCGAGAAAGGAAGGUCGGCUGCAUUGAUAUCGGUGUAUGGGUCGACUUCAAAUCCAAAGACACGAGCUUCUCGGAUGUGCUGGAACCUUGCUUUCAAUCCUGGAUCUGAGGUCUUCUGGAUGAUCCGCUUAGCAUCCGGACAAGUCAGGACCAGAUCAAUGGUGUCCUGGCAUGCUUUCGGCAAACCAUACAGAUCAUUGGCCGAAUGUUUCUUAUGAAAUUCUCGCAUAUACUCCAAAGACUCCCCAAGGAACGGGGGAUGCAAAUUCCGUCGAAUUUUGACCAAAGGUUCUGGUAUAGCCGGUGGAUAUAAUUUGCUUUCGGCCUCUUGCCUGAAAUGUUCAAGGCGUGCCUUCAUCUCCCCUGGUCGAAUGAGAAGUUUGAUCCGUUUAUCAGCUUCUUCAAACAUGGUCUCGACAUCUUGAUCGACCAGCCGUUUCCCCUGAGCCAACUCUGUCAUGAUUACUGGAGGUGGUCGCUCAUCAUCAGUGGCAGCUGUGUCCUUUGGCCGCCACUUAGGGGCCGAAGUUUCCUGGGCUGCUCGUCGGCGAGCCAUGCAAUCUAUCCGUUGAUGCCGGCGUUUCUGAGAUUUGGACAACACGGUGUAGACGCCCUUCGAAGAAUGGUAUGUAUACCAACGUUGAUCUCUAGGCUCGGGAUGCUUGGAGGUCUUUUGGUUCCGCGAUGAUUCUGAACUGCUAGAAUUACGCUUAUAGUAAUCAUCGUCAUAGAAUGAAGCAUCAAAAUCGAGGCGCCGCCUGACCGGGGGUGUCUCUUCCAUCCGUACUUUAGGACCGAGCCUCUAAAAAACUCCAUGAUGUUGGCCUUCAUUGGCUACCUUUGGCCGAGUUGUGGCCACAAGUUGCGAAGAGGGCUUCUCCUCUGGUUCACUGUCAACCUUCGCUCUACAUUUCCCGCAUAAAACCGCCGCCCCACUAUCUUUACCGGUGCUAUAAUCCAUCAUAGGUUUGACAAUAGCAGGCCCCGUUAAAGCCGUAGGUGGCUUGUUUGAACGAAAAUCGGCCAUGAACCGUGGCCGACAAUUCUGACUCUGCGGGCGUUGCGUCUCAACCACUUCGGCCUUGCCUUUCCCUUUGUCCUUGGGUAGGUACGCGUCGACCAUAUUUACUGUUGCCGUGGGGAACGGAUCAGUAUCAACACUCAUCUUCUUCUCAGGAAACUUCAAUUUGCCAUUAUCAAUCCAGCUUUGGACGUUAUCGCGAAAUACAACGCAAUCGUUUGUCGUAUGUUUGCUCGAAUUGUGGUAUUUGCAAUACACCUUUCCUUUAAGUUCUUCGGCCUUAGGAAUGUUAUGACCAAGCCGAAGCUUGAUGAUUCUUGCUGAUAACAGUUGGUCAAAAAUUACGUCAGCCUUGGUAAUAUCAAAAGUAUAAACCUUUGAUGGUUUCAAUGUUCCUUCAGUGGCCAAGCGACUUUUGGCUUCUCUAGAAUCAACCUGAGUCAAUGCCUUGCAGACGUAUGACUUAUCUAUCACUAUCUCAGCCGCAUCCACACUAACGCAUUCAUCCUCGGUUGAUGCAUAAUUAACAGUAGGAUUCUUGUAAAUCGUCCCCCGAGUUGGAGUCUUCGAAAUCUUUUCCUCACGGAGCAAAUAAUCGUACUGCUCGACAUGUUGGGCUAAUUCGUACAUAUCACGAAAAUUUGCCCCCAGGAAUUUCUUUUUGUAUUCGACGUCGAGGUCGUUCAAAGCAAGCCUGACAAAUUCGACUUCGGGUAAAGGCACUCGGCACCAAUUCCUGGCUGAUUUGAACCUAGUAAGAUAAUCCAUUGGUGAUUCAUCAGAUGCCUGAGCCAUCCUUGCUAACGAAGAAACUGACAUCUCCAUCCCUGGUCGAUAAAACUGCUCGUGGAAUUUCUCGACCAACUCUUCCCAGUUCUGGACGGAAUUGGGGGGUAGAUUAAUGUACCAAGCAAAUGCCGAGCCGGUCAAUGAGAAAUUGAACAGCCGUAACUUAUGAAAGUCGCUAUUCACAUCUCCGCAUUGCGCGGUGAAACGAGCCACGUGCUCCAACGAAGAUAAGGACGAUUCACCGGCAAAAAGACUAAAAUCUGGGAUCUUGAAACCCUUCGGGUAUCCAAACGUUUCCACGUAAGCUGGGUACGGAUGAAUAAACUUGGGAAACUUCGGCCCUUUCUUCAUGGCCGAGUCGAUCAUCCGCUGAACCUCGGUCAUAUCAACAGGUGUUGCUUCGACCCUCUGGUCGGUUCCGUCUGACCUACUAUUCGACCCUCCUCAUUUUUCCAAGUUAAUUGGUUUUAGCUGGGUAGGAAUAGGCUCGACCGGUACAAUCGGUACCGGAUUGUUUCCUGGUGGACAAUGUUGGAGAAGUUCGAAAGGCCUAUUGCCACCAACUUUACUAACCAGCAUUUCGAGCAGCUUGGUUUGUCGAUCAUUGGCACUGAGUAUCGCGUCAUGCAGCUUGUCAAUGCCUCGACUGAACGUCUGCUCGACUGACCGAGACUGCUCGUCCAGUCGCUUUCGGAGAAACGACCUCGUUGGUGGGUCAGAUCCUUCACCACCAUCCUCGUCACACUCCUCUAUUAUCCUUUCAUUGAGAACGCAUGUGUUUCUGUUAGGGAUCUCUAAGCCACGGAGUUGACCGCCGAGAUUAACUUCUCUCUCUCGGCGAGUCGCGCUCGUGGACUCAGGUGUCGCAGCGCUAAGGGGAUUCUGCUCCUGUGGCACACUCUGUCCUAUGCUCUGACUCGGCAAAUCGGCUGUCGACUUUCCCAUAGCUGUUUUCUUUUUUACCGUGUUUCAAUUGGCAUGAACUUCGUAGUUUAGCACUGGGUCCCACUGGGCGUGCCAAAAUGUUGACCCUAGAAACUACAAAGCCUACGUGGCGCGCAGGCCGAGUAAUUAAUGAGCUAACUACGUCAUUCGGUGAAUGCGGGGCGUGCCAACUCGUCGGCCGAGCUCGGCCGAGGAGUAAAUUUGUUGAUGUUGCGUUGGGUCGCGCUACUGACUUCUGCGUCUUGCGAUUGCGGCCGAGAAAGGAACACGUCUCGGCCUCUUGGGCUCUCGAACCUGAAGACAAGGUUACUAUUCUUACGAAGUUCAAUAUCAAAUUCGGCUUUCAAUGUGCCGAAUGUAAUAACUGUAACACCUCACUUCGCCGAGAAGGCUGAUGAGAUGACCUCGACCAAUAAGGAUUUAGAGACCCUUCUCGACCGAGACUUGGAUAGGUAAUCAAUCGUUCUCGCCGCAGUGCUGUUGAUGCCAACGGAAGAUACUGCGAGACCGACUGACUCUACGGUGACAGAGCUAUCUAUGCCGACUUAAGAUAUCACCGGUUGCUUCCACAGUGCUGUUGAUGCCAACGGAAGAUGUGUCAGCGGAAAAGGAAAAAGAAAAAUCACAAGUUGUGAGAAUUUGCGCAGGGAAAUUUUGUGUGUUGAAUUGAAGGGGCCUUCCUGAUGCACAGCGUCCCCUAUUUAUAGUACUGAUCCUUGAGUCCGAGUUUAAAUCCUACUCGGACUAGGUUUCCCUCUCCGGAUCACCUCGACCAGUCCUAUAUUUACUAGGACUAUGAAUCUAGUCCUUAGCUAAGCUGGAUUCGUUUUCUGGAUAUCCGAUCCCGUCGAGACUCCUCAUUGCACUAGGACUUGUCCUAACCGCUCUAGGUUUGGACUCCUACGGGUUGACCGAUCCAUGGCCCUUUUGCUGCCCGGCCUCCUGGGCCGAGAGUGAUCCUACCCUCGGCCCAAACUAUUAUUUUGGGCCCAAACAGUCGUAUAUAGCAUUGGAUAGUAUUAAUAGUACGAUGCCAGGUGUUUGGUGUACUAAUGUAUUAAAUAGUACCCAGACUAAAUUAUCCGGCCCCACCACUUUAAUACUCCUCACGCCCGCCUAAUUAUACCGCCCAAAAGCUUCGUAUUAUUAGUCCGACUCGCCCCCGCUGUCUUCCUUGCCUCCGUCUUGGUGCAUCUGCCCUCGCUGUCUUCCUUGCCUCCGUCUUGGUGCAUCUGCCCCCGCUGUCUUCGUUGCUUUCGUCUUGAUGAUAUGCGCCAGUGCUUUGUGGAGAUUGCAACCCAUGUUGAAGAACUUCAAGAAAUGCCUAAUUAUGGGUUUCCUGUAUCUGAUGGAGUUCAGAGUUGCCUAAGAUUCCAUGGGAAAUUGCAAAUCCGUUUGAUCCUUCUUGCUUCCAUGCUGCUCUAAGAAGGUGUUCAUUCUUGUGAUUAAAGAUUUGAUGUAGCUAGCGCUAGAUAGAUGUCUAUGGAGAUAUGGCACUGUACCUGUUUGACAAUUUGUAUGAUUUGAAUUAUGAUCUGCAAGUUCUAAUUUAUGUGGAUCUCUUUUCGUUUCGGAGUUUAAGUUUUCUAAUUCAGUGGAUCUUUUUUUGUCUGAAUGUCAUAGAAACUUAGUAGAGAUAGAAUUGGGUCUCAGAGAUUUGGAUUUGGAAAGUGAGGGGGGCAGUGCGGUGGAGAAGAUCUGGGGAAG
rnacentral:lncRNA from 1 species